CCUCCCCGGGCUCCAAGUGCGCAGGCGCCGGCCCCGAGGACCGACAGUGCGCGGGGCUGGAGCGCGGUCGGAGCGCACGGUGGCGGUGGUGGCGGCGAAAGACUGAAGGAUCGCGGGCGGACGGCGGACACACAGACCUACGAGCUUAGGAGUCGGCGGCUGUGCCGCACGUGCCGCCUGGCUGGAGGGGUGGCCACCUAGCCAUGUCACCUAGUACCUGCUGAACUAGGAGUGCUUGAGGAUGUCCGCGCUGAGGAAGGCAAAAUGACUCAGCUCUGAAACAGCUUUGAAGGAAAAGUUUGGCUACAGGGAAGAUUGUGCAAGUAGCCAGGAACAUCAGGAGAAGCGUGUUGAGGCUUUCCUGCCACCCGAGGCUCAGCCGUAGUACUGCGCAUCCCAUUCCAACGGUGACUCCCUCUGCUGCACCCAGCCCAGCACGAUGGGGACGGCUCAGGUUCUGCCCGGCAUUCUGCAGAAGCAUUGCUGUGUGCUACCAGACAGGAACACAGAUCUGAUGCCCGUUUGCUGGACGUGCCCACAGGGCGGUCACCACGGCGGGCGGUCAUCGUUGAUUAAGAUAAUUUUUUUUAAUGUGUCACUGCAUGAAUCUCCAUCUCCAUCUCUGGAAAUUGAGUAAAUUCAUAGAAGAAAAGUUGAUUACUGUUUAGAUACUUGUUUUGUCAUUUUGAAUGGGAAAUAUUGAAAACUAAAAUUAAACAUACAUAAAUGCUAUAUCAGACUCAUUUUUAUUCAAGUACAGUACAACAUUCAGUGUUAUAGUCAUUGCUAUUUAUUCUAUGGUUUAGGUAAAAUAUUUGGGAAAAUAACCCCUAAUGUAAUGACAUGCUUUUAUGUGAUAUUAAACAGAUUCCCAAC
rnacentral:lncRNA from 1 species